GGUUGCAUAGUUCACAACGCGAUGUGUAUCUUGGAGCCUACCUAAAUGGCGGACAUUGGCAGAUGGUAGUCAUCCUGCCCAAGGAACACUUAGUUGUCUGGUUUUGUUCAUUGCAUAACAGGCCAGACAACUACCUUAAGGGGAUUAUUAAUAAUGCUAUCAAGGGUCUUGAUGAUGCUCCACAGCCUAAAUCAAAGG